CUCUCCUGUCAUUUUGAUGGUAGGAAAGAGAACAUAGAUCAUUAUUAAAACCCGCUGCUGAUGUUUAUGACAUCCGCUUGUGUCUCUCUGCUUUGCAGGCGUUAGGAGUCAGCAAUUAAGCGAAGCCAAAGCUACUUCCACCUCCUGCAGAAAAAAGGAACAGAAGGAGCGGGCAGAGGAGAGGAGGAAGGAAGGAUGCCUGAAAACAGAGCCUUGACCUCCCAGUUUCUCCUCUGACUCAGACGGCAUAUCAGACGGGUGAGCAGCAACUUACGACAGCUCGGUUUUUAUUUCUACUUGCUGUGUUUCUCUGUCAGUUGUUUCACAGCUUACAAAAACAGUGUCUGUUGUGAAUGAUAAAAUCUGCUCAUCCUUUUUUUUGCUGUAAAACCACAAACAACUUGGACUUACAACUGUAAAAUUCUGAGACCACAUAAACCUAUGCUUCCCUAUAUUUUUUUACAGUUUAAACAGGAAAUUUCGACACUCAAGGCUGGCCUCCCUGGAUGGUUUCAGGACAGAUCCAGGGUUUGAUUUGCCUCUUCCGGUGAUUGGAGGGGCUCGACUUGAUUCAGUGCUUGUCAUAACCGAUUAUGAGUCCAAAUAAUCCUCAAGUGUUUGUUUUUAGACUGUUUUACUGCUCUUGACCGAGUCUGAGCCUCUCUGAUCCGGGAUUGGAAACAUCAAACAUGUUUAAUAUUUACAAUUCCAGGAUGGACCACGUCCAGCAGUGUACCCUCAAUAACCAAUGACAGGAGCAGACUAGAACACACAUCAACAGAGUGUGUAACUCACAGUCCCAGCACAAACAUAAACACAUCUGUGGUCUUUGAUUCAAGGCCUUUUUUUCUCAGAGUGAGGGAAUGGAGUAUUUAGAGUUUGCAUAAUCUGGUUGUAUAACUAAAACAUUUCUUUCUAGAGAAAUUAUAAAAAAUAUUAACAGUUUUAAUUUUGACACUUUAGAUGGCUUGAUUUAUUCACUGAUAACUUCACAAAACACAUCUCAAAAUCUAUUAGCAUCAGAUUGUAGUCAUUAGCCACAGACUGUAUGACGGCAGGACAGUUAAUUUUCUUUGGUCCCUGAAAUUAUGGCAAGCACACCAGUGCCUUCAUAAUGUCUCAUUCAUAGACUGUAUAUAUUACAGACAACUUGGCUCCGCCUUCCAUAAUUAUAUGAAUUUGAAGCCGAAUUUCUCUCGGUAUUUCUGAGAUUUUCACAGCAAUGUAUCAUGCACUGAAAUGAGUGAUAUAUGUAGUCAAAAACAACCAAAAUAAGCUUAACAUUCAAAUAUAUUGUUACAAAAAGCUAAAGAAAGGUGUGUGAUUGAGGUUCUCAUCUUUGGCCCUAAACUCAUCCCUAUCACUCAGGACUUGUGUUAAAGUUAUAUUCAGUUGAGUAAGAAAUUCCUCUUUGCACGCCGUGCUUCCCAAGAAAGCCAAGUUCUCCUACUGUGGCACCAUUACAGGUAGCAGCCUUAUGUAAUUGUUUAAAUUUGCUGUAGGACACCAAAACGUUCAUUUUCUGUCUGCAGCUAAAUUUGAAUCAACUUGUCUGUUAGAUUCAUCAAACAUACACUAAGUUCAUCUCAAACCCACAAUAUUCAAGCUCUUACAGCUGACACAUACAGUACAUUUGAGCAGAGGCUAAUUGAGGUCAUGGUGAGCUAAUCUAACCAGCACCGUAUCUCUGCUCCACUCACUUGGCCUCUGCCUGCAGGAACCAGCUGGUCAGGUGUGAACAAAGCAGGGUUAAACAGGAAGAAGAACUAGCCAGUGUAACCUUUCACCCCUACUCAUAACCCCCCCCCCCCCCCCCCCCUUCUGCAGGGUGAAGCACAGAGGUGAGAUAACCAUAUACUGUACAGUAUAAUCACAUACCUCUACUUAAGGUGGAGGCCUUUCAACAAGCUGCUUGUGUUGAUAAGUUUUGAAAUAUUCCUUGUCAGCAGCUUUGCAGAGUUUGUACCUGCUUUGUGCUGUGCUGAUUAGGCUGUUACAAAAAUAAUGGUUUUGGUGGUGGUAGCUGGUGCAGUUUGUUUAAGUUAGUCAAAUUUAUUCGGUGUGGAUCAUAGACUGUGGACAUAUGCUAUGGACAACUUGGCUCCACUUCCUGAAACCAAUAUUGCUCAGUAGCGUUGUACACACAUUGUAUGCAUUCGGCGGGAGCUGUGAUAACGCUCAGCUCAAUCUCCGGGUGAGCAACGUAAUCUUCGUACGCUCAUAGGCUGUAUCAAGUGGACCUAUGCUUGACUUUUUUUUUUUUUUUUUUUAUUUAAUUUGAUUUUUUUUUUUUCUGAGAAGUACACUUAAUCGGUCACACUGUUGUGAAUCCAUACAAGGUCUGAUCCUGAUGUUCAAGACAGGGAAAGCAAAAUAACACUUUAGCAUCACAAUGUGCCUGUAACCAAGCCUUCUAAGUGUAACCUGCAAAAUUCAACGUUACACAGGACACAGUUCUUUUGGGGUUCUUGUAGCUGGUGCUUUAAUAACAACCACAAUUGAAGUGAUUGGAACACAGUGCAUAUGCUGUGUAACUGCUCUUGAUUACCUUGGGCUCCACCGCUUCACUUGCGGUGACAAGAAAAUGGUUACAAUAUAUUAAACAAACUAAAUACCUAAAAUACAGCAGUGGGCUCUGGCUACCAACAGAACAAAGAAAAUAGAAACUGUUAAAGAGAGAUUUAGCAAAACGAUCCCACCUUCAAAUCCAUACGUGUGCAAUUGGAGAUGUACAAAGUACACUUAUAUUUCAACAGUUUCAUGUAAUGCUGCAUGGCACCCACUGGAGACUAAACCAAAGAACAUACUGUAUUUACAUUCAAACAAAGAUAAAUGAACUGUAAAACCUUUGCUGGUUUUUCAUUGACACAGUAAAAUAAUAUAUGUUGCUUUAUGCAAGCUAAUAUUACAUUCUAAAUGAACACACAUCACUUGGUGACUGGCACACAAAAUUAUGAGACAUCAAAACCAGCAGUGCCAAGAACAUACCAUCCAGUUAAAAUACUGUAAGACAACAUAUUUUUGCAGUAAUAUUUAAUAAGAUACCUGAAAAUGUUGCAUUCAUCAGAAAAUGAUACAAAACACUUACAUUUCGCUUUUAGAACAUUAACGAGUCAAAAUGGUUCAAAUACAUAUAAGCAGUUCUACCAAGCGGCUACAUAAGUAAACCAUCUCCUUGAAAACAAUAUUGUUAGUAUCAUGUUAUCCCCAGGGGAAAGGUGUCUCAAUACCGUUGUUGACCUAUAAUGGUAAUGAGGGUCAGCUAUGGCUCUGUGGUGAAGCUCGUUGUCUUAAUUGAAGGGUUGGGGUUUUGUACCAUGGACUGUGGUGAAAUUCAACAUAUGAGUAUUCGACAUCUUGAUCUAGACAUCCAUUCCUUGUUUUUUAUUUUUUAUUUUACAUUUCUAGGUCCUAAUUCUGAUGUCCGACUGAUAAGGUCCAAGCUCUUUAACUCUCUGCACCUCCUGCAAAGAUCUCCUUCUGUACUGUAUUAUUUUAAGAGUUCAUCCUGAAACUAGGUUCAACAACUCACUCUUGUGCAUUGUCACAAGAUUAACCGCUGCAUGCCUCGUUCUUCAUGUCCCAAUUAAAGGGCUUUCCCUUUUGCUGCCACUUGCUGGCUGGUGGCAGGCGGGACAUUGAGCAUGAUGUUUAUGCCUCUCUUGGGUCGACGAUGUACUGAGAGCUUGAUGUUAUUAGGCGGUCUGUUCAUCCCUCUCUCCGUUUCAUUCUGUUAUACCUCAGGCAGUUGUGAGGAUUUCUAUUUUUGUAAUUUUGGCACAUAAAUCUGUGAGUCACAGAUGAACUGAUUCAAAUUUGAUGGUCAAAGUUCAAGGUCACUUUGACCUAAAAAAAAAAGAAAUCACAGCCAUGUCUUGGGGAAUAGAACACAGUUUUUUUUUUUUUUUAUUAUCAAUCAUAAGACGUCAAUCAUAAUGUCUUUUUAAUUUUCAGUUUUCAUCAAUAAUGGCACACAGUCUGAGACUACCACUGGAUCAAUCUCAAUAUAUGUAAUCACUGUAUCUGUAGGCUUUAAUUGAUGGUAAAUGCACACAAUGUUUUACAGAGCCCACUGCAAAGCCUCUAUCUGAGCAACAUCCAGAAAGCAGCAGCAUGUCUGAACCUUCAGGGGAAUCAGAGGAAUGCAGCUGCCCUGCUUUGUCCUUCAGCACUGUAGUAUGUAACCUUUAGAUAUGCCUUAUUCCUUAUUAAGCUGUACCUUAGGCAUUUUCAAGGUAUAGCCGCUGCAGCAAAGACAUUUUAUGUUUCUGUGCAACUGUUCGUCAGAAAGGCCUUCAUGCUGGCCAGAUGACAAAGUUCAGGGAACUGUAUGUGGAGUCAGGGUAUGAAAAGGACAUCAGUAUAAACAUCAGAAGUGAGAAUAUAUGGCUGUAACAGUCACUCUUAUGUAGUGAGAUUUAACAUCUGAAUAUUUGACAUCUUGAUCUAGGCAUCUAUUCCUUGUUUAAAUAAGAGCAAAGCUUUUCAUGUAUUCUUCACCUGCAGCGCUUAAAGGAAAAGGGGAGGUGAAAACAUUUGAUGUAAGGGGGAUCACUUCACUUAUUCCUCCCUCUUCUGUCAGUCAGCGUCAAUCUGUUUGAUUCAUGUCAAACAGAUGUGUGUCUGCACCUCAGCAAACAUCAAACGCAGAAAAAUAAACAAGGCAGAAUGCUGAAUAUUUAAUGCAGAGCAUCUGACAGACUGGGAUUCUCUUGAUGCAGUCAUUUUGUUUUUCCUUCACACAGCUGACUACUUUGAUGCUGCAUGAACCAGAGCUAACCCUCCUUUUGUAAAACAUGUCAUUAAAAAAAAAAAGUUUUCUCUGACAAUUUGGCUUUGUUAAAAACUCAGAUGUGUGCUGACAAUAAAAACACUCAAAACCUGGGUUAAUAAAAGCUACAGUUACUAGUUUCUGUUUUGCUGGGUUUAUUUGGUGGUGUGAUCACACAGAGGAUUGGACAGCUGUGAUUCCUACAGUCCACAGGUAAAAGAACAAAAAUGCAAUCCAGUAUGGAUCCCAAGUUAUUCCAAGUUACCAAACUGGUGACCACUUUUUUACCUUGAUGACCUUCACUUAAUUAUACAUAUCUGUUACUGUAUGAGCAUAAAAAAUGAAAGAUACGGAAUCGCUUUAGAAAAUGUUCGUUUACAUAGUUAGUCAAUUAUGAAGUGAUCAUAACAAGAUGCCACCUAAUAAAGCAUCCAGGUGACCAACACAUAUUUAGACCUCACGUGACAAAGAAGGGUUGUGCGCACAGAUCACAACAUAAACUCCAAUAAUGGCAUUAAAAUCGAAACCAUCUGUGCGUAAAGGACGCAUCGCGCUCCGUGGCCUGGCUCUUUCUUUCAUAGAUGUUGGCAUAUAAAAUAAAUUUGGCUCACAAAACUGAAUAUUAUAAUAUUCGUAUGUAGGCUUAAAGUAAAUAACUCAUUUGAGCACUGAAACAAAUCAUCUGUUCAGCCGCCGCAGCAGCAGCUGCAGCAGGACGGGAAGAGGACAUGUAGACAUGUCCAGGUCGAGCUGCGCGAGAAAUAAGAGAAGAGGAAGAAAGAAAAAGGAGGGAGACGAAUUACAUAUCUUGUUAACUUCAUCAUGUGUGUCUAUUUACUGGAUAUUUAAUUUAAUUUAAUGCUGUUUCAGCUGUGUUGAUUCGGUCAGGUUGUGUGUCCAAACGCGUGCCAAUCGUGCUCAUCAGAUCAGAUAUAGAUCAGAAUAUAUCGAUAUAGAUCUAAAUGUAUGUGCUGACUCAGAUUAAUAGUUGUUGAUGAUUAUUUAUUGCACUGAAAUGUGCCUGACACUGUGGAAACCUGCCGGUUAGGCAUCAGUGACGUAUGCCGAUACGCCGCCGGUCUACCAAAAUAUCACUAGACCAGCUGCACUCCGCCUGCACUGAAAGCUGACCAGGUUUGAAUCGGUGAGCUUUCAGCGCACUUUAUACACCACCGGCGAGCACGAAAAAAUGUCACUGCGCCAGCUGAUUCUGCCGACACCUCCCCCUGCCACGCCCAGCUUAGCGGACCUUGAUGCGCCUCAGUCCACGAAAAUACCAAACUGGCUGCACGCUGGGCUCCACCAGACGAACAUACAACUGCACGGGGUCCGCCACCCUCCGUCGCCUCACCGGUGGACACGAAAAUAGAGCCCCUUGUGUAAAACAGUUGGUGGGUUUGGAUUAAACGUUUUCUCAGCUACUGGACAUGCUCAGAAUUUUUUGCACUGAUGUUAAUGCAACAUGUAUUUUAACAUAACUGCAGCACCAAUGACACCAUUAAACAAUAAACAGAGGAACAGGAAACAUAUCUGCAAUGGAGCAGCUGCUGUUGCACAACACCAUUAAAGUCAUAAACUGAGAAGGCUGCAGAUAAGUGUCUACUUUAUUCACACAUUGGUGAAUUAGGACAUCAAACAGACUUUGUUCUGGGGUUAUUCACAGGGUAAAGUUCCUUUUAUAUUCAGGUCAUCUGAUUCAGAGGUUUACUUUGUCUUAAAUAACUCGCCCAAGUCAGAUUUGAAUAGGCUCAAAGUUUGCAGGAGGCUAAAAUCUCAAUUGCUAAGGUCUGCAGAGUCACUGCAAGUUUCAGUGUUGAGUACUUGCUCUUUGUCUGCCUCUAGAUUUCUUUGUGUGCUGUUUGACAUUGAAAAAAACAAUGAUAUAGUGUGUUAUAAAGCAUUUGUUCUGCAGGAACCCUCUCUAUUGUGCUCAUUUGUCUGUGCAGUGUUCUGCAGGGACAAAUCCACACCCUGUAUUUAUGAUACAUCACCUUCACUUCAGCAUGCAUUUCCUGUGACAUUGCAUUGUUUUCCAUCACCAGAAUACAGUCUUGUUUUCUGGCGAGACUUCUGGAAAAUAACAACCGUGUUCAAAGGCUGUUACCUGACAUCUGACAAAUCCUAAUCUUUCAGAGGAUCCGCCUGGCAGACAAAUGGCCCGGGCGAUAAUGAAAAGAGCUCGGAGCGACUGGCGGCUGCAUCGUUUGUGUGCAGGGGGUGAACAAGGCAGAAAAGGGGGCAGAAUUCAUAUUGUGUUUGAUGUGUUAGUAGCGAUCAUGAGGAUGGAUGUGGUCGUAAAGCCCCGAAGCGUGAAAGUGUGGGGCUGACAGACAACACUGCAUGACUGCAGGUGACACCAGGCUUUUAGAGAGAUGGUGUGGUCUACAUUUGUUUCCAGUGCAGUGGUUGUUGAUUUUAAGAGCUGUGUCUCAUAAAACAGUGUUUGCAUUCACAUGUUGUAGCUACAACAGAAGAUCUGACUGUGAAUAAGGGUUGUUUGAUAGGAAGGCUUUGCAGUGACUGAUUUUGGCCUUUAGAGGGGGCACUACCCCUAUGUCUUUUGUUUACAGUUUCUCCAAACAUACAUCCAAAAGAAAAAAAAACGUGGAAAAAAAUUCAAACAAAGAGCCAAAGAAGUCAGACUGAUCUUAAAUAAAGGCUUUUAGAUACAGAACCCACAAUGAUGAUUCAAAAUUAAAUAGAAAAGAAGGACAUGAAGCCACAUGCAGUGCUGUACAGUUUAACCAAAUUAGGAAAAAUUAAAUUCAUUGUUGUCUUGAGUUUCUCCAAAACGCUCAUUGUAAAUAUUCCAAAUCAAUCAAACUUGGAUGCUUGUUUUUGCCCCAUCCUGUUAGUAUUGCUGUGAUUGGUGUUCCCAUUUAAAUUGUAACACAAGACUGAAGAUGGUGUUAACUUGAGUUAUUUGUCAGUCAUGAUGUUUGUUUGUUUAUGUACUUACCACAUAUGUUUAUGUUUUUUGAAUGUGGGUUGAGGUUGUUGUCUGUGUAUUAACAACAGGGGAGCUAAGACUAUAGAGCUGGGCGAUUAUUAAAGGUCCCCUAGUAUGGCAUUUUUCAUCAAGUUUAAAUCAGUCGCAGAGGUCCAACAAUAGUAAAUUUUAAGUGUGUCGUCUAAAGCACUAGUUUAUUUGUGAAUAUCAGCCAGCCUGUACCGCUCUCUUUUUUGAGCUCCACUGAGAACAGGCUGAUUCUGUGCCUGUACCUUUAAAUGAUAAUGAGCUGUGUGCAACCAUGCCCCUCUCUGGAAGGAGCUGCGGCUUUCGCUGUGAUACUAUAGGCUAAUAUUUACAGCCUGUGCAGUGUGAUGGCUUGCAGAAGCUGUGGUCCAGCCCUACCAAUUUGACCCAGAGUCUGACCCAAAGGGAGAGGCUCCCAUAGAAAGUCAAACUCUACGGCUGAAACAGGAUGUUUCUGAAUGGUUGAUUACAAAUAUUAUUCGUCUUUAUAUCUGUGAUUUUACUCAGUGUGUUAUGUUACACUGGUAGGUGGGUUAGCUUAUCUGACGCCAAGGUCCAAUUCUGAGUGGUUAGUUACAAAUAUGUGUCUUUAUAUUUGUCUUUUUACUUUGUUAGUGUGUUACGUUACAUUGCUAGGAGGUUUAGCUUAUCUGUCGGCUUUGUCUCCACUGUCUCAUCGUUACUUGGAGCUCUUUCAGUGAAUACCCAAUAUUUUAAAAAGUGAAAUGUUAUACUUACCCCUCAUGACUAAUGCUGUUUGGCGAGGGGAUGCAUAUUAUGGGUAGAAAACCACCGAAAAGUGGAUUUUUUAUGAUAGGGACCUUUAAGAUUUCUGUUUUAGCCAUGAUUAUGGUCCCCCAAGAUCAUUUAAAUAUGAUCAUCUGGACUGAGUAAUAUUAUGCCUGCAUUUUUACAUCCUAUAUGUUGAAAAUAUGAAAAUAUGCUGAAGCGCACCCUCUAUCUCUACCUCAGCAGAGGAUUGUGGGCAUGGACCUUCCCCUCACAAAGAUCUCACUUUUACUUCAUCAUAAGCGGCUCAAAGUUUAGGAUCUGGCAGGUGUGUCUGAAAAGCCAAGGGACAGAAUGAUAGCUUGAAAAGACUUGGUAAUAAAAGUCAUGGGUAAUAAGUUUUAAUAAUCUUGAUAUCAAUGUCAAUCAAAGUAAUCAUGAUUAUGAGUUUUGCCAUUGUCGAGCAGCUCUAGCUCAGACUAUCAAGUCCCGCUGAUGGGGUUAGCGCUUUCGUGUUUUUGACCAAAUUUUGUGUAGAGAGUGAAAAAAAUGUAACUUAAUUGCAGAUAAGCAUUCAGUUUAUCUCAUGUUUUAUUUUAUGGUGUUAGAGCAAUCACAGCUAAAGUUCACUGAGAGAUUCUUCGAUUAGACAAAACUCUGAUAUAAGAAGUUUAUGUGUUUCCACUUUUUUGCAGGAAGGUCAUCUCAGCUAGCUGCCGAAGGUUUUCACUUCUGACAGCUGCAGGAGAGUCGGCCCACUCACAAUCUCCUGGGACCCCAAAGUAACUUGUUACUGGGUCAAAGGUCAUCAUCACCCACAUACAACCGAGUAGUGGUCAGUAUAAGAUAACAUAUAAAUAAAAACUUUCCCUUUUUCAGCUGCUGGAGGCAAUAUUUCGGUGUUAAAACACACCAAAACUGCCCACCCUCUGAAUAAAUAUUGACCAAGCAGAUCUCCAUGUACCAAGAGCUGCAGUCCAGACUGCAUGUAACAAAUGUGAGCAUUAUCUGACAGAAGAUACUGGUUUAUUGAGGUUCACGUCUGCCAGAUUCAUUGAUAAGGAUUUUGGAAUACAGCACUGACACAAGCAUCAAACAAAGAACAUGAAUGAAAUGAGUAGUAGUGUUAUAGUAAGUGGUUCUGUGCUGUUAGCAUAGAUAGGAGAUGUUAGCCUACUGGUACUGGUACUAGUAUUGACUUAAAUAAAGUAAUCUAAAAAGAGUAGGGUUGUCUAUAGUAGGGGUUUAGUAAUUAGUUGUAUGCAAAAAAAAAUUUGUUGUCUUUACAUAAUCAGCUCUAAAAAUUGAAAAAUAAAACAUAGUGUCGGUCUGUAAAAUCCACUUGCUCUGUGAGACUGGCAUCUUUUAGCUGAUAAACUGAGACUUUCCAUUUCCAUGAGCCUUUAUCAAUCACAGAGACUAUUCGGAGACAUUCACUCCAACUUGACGGUAAUCUUUGAUGACUUAUGUAUCAGUUUAGUGUAACAGCCUUAUGUAUGUUUGCUGACUGGGCUAGAUAGAGGCUGCCAUCUUUGUUUGGGUCUGCUGACCAAUCUGAAACUGUAUCUGCUAUCAGCUGACCUGUAAGAUCCAAUGAGAAGUGAGAGCAGCCUAAAACAGAGUCAAAGUCUUCUCUCACUGUAGAAAUACAAAUAUAGAAAAUAUACACUUUCCACAGGGGUCAACAAAUAUAAAACAAUUUAUUUUAGGAUAUAGAAACUUUAUGAAAACAUUUGUGUUGAACAGGUAGGGUCUUCUCAUAACCAUAAGCUGAUUCACUGAGAGUAGGGAUGUAGCGAUAACUGGUAAAAUGAUAAACCGCGGCAAAAUGUGUGACGGUUAGUACUACCAUUUUAAUUUCUGCCGACCGUGUUGCAGAGAUUUUUCCACUUUUAAAGAAAACAAAGUCUGAAGUCUGGGCUUAUUUUGGUUUCUACAAAGGGUUGCCAGGAAGCUUUUGUGCAUCCCAGCAACCAGCGUGCCAUCCGAGAGGCUAUUCAGUGCUAGCGGACACAUCGUUUCCCCUCACAGAUGACUACUUGAACCAGACCAAGUAAAUAUGCUGACAUUUUUACAUUUCAAUCCUAAGUAUUGAACAAAGUCAGCAGCAGCACCUUAUGGUGGAGAAAACAGACAAUCGGUGUGGUUCAUCUGAUUAGUUUACAUAUUUUAUGUUAUUUUAAACACCUGCAUUCCCCCUUGUGUUUACAUGUGGUUGUAUUGUGUUGCUCUAUUAUGAGUAGAUCUUUUUCGAGCUCUGAAAAUACUUACAAUUUGCACAUUAAGGAAUGUAAUUUUAUUUAAGUUUUAUUAAUUUGUUAUUCUGCUAAUGUUUAUGCCACUGGCACAUUACUUUGUACUUUGUUAUUACUAGAACUAGUGUUGAUUACCUCUGGCUCUUAUAAGGCUCUUUAAUUUUUUAAGCUUAUCGUCCUUCUGUUAUUUAAGGUUAGGGAAAAGUUCGUUUUGCGUGUUAUUUUGGUUGUUUUUUUCAAAAUAAAACUUUGUUAAAUGAUUUCAGGGCGUGAAUAAGUCCUUUUUAAACAUUUUGAACAUAUUUCAACAGUACCGUGAUAAUAUUGAUAACAGUGAUAAUAUUGGUCACAAUAAUUAUGUUAAAUUUUCAUAUUGUUACAUCCCUAACUGAGAGAUGGAGAUGGUAGAAAAAUAAACCAAAGAAGCUAAAAUAUAAGGGACCAGAAGAAUGUCAGGCAAAGCAGGUUCACAGAGCCCCUUUCUGGAUGCCUGGAUGCCAGACUAGGACUAGGGAUUCAAAUCGAUCAGGCUGUCUCAGUAUUGCAGUUUCAAAUCAGUAUGUUGAUUGUUUCAGGUAAAAAGUUCAAACUUCCUAAGCUUUCUUUCUCAUCUCCGUUUAGACAAAAGACUGAUCAGUGUCCAUCCUACGAAGGUUGUGAACUCGAUUCUACAUGGCUAAAAAGGAGGAAAGGCAGAUAUUGAUUUACACUACAAUAGUGUUUCUCAACAAAGCUGCAGAACUUGCAGAUGAAAUUUGACUAUUUUUGAAUUGAUGCUGCUGAAAGCGGUUUUGAAAGCACCUGCUGCGUACUGAAACUGGAGGUCAGAAUAGAGUCAAAGUGUUUUCCUUUUCAAAUUUUUUCAGUAUUUGAGUUAAAAGUUAUGUUCAAUUUAGGAAACUGUCGCUGACCCGUGCAACCUCUCUGUGUUUAUUAAUGAAUAACCCCUCAGUAAUUUUCUGCUGUGAUCACAUUUGACAGGAUAAUGGUGCACUCAUGCUGAGGCUUGAGACAUAAAAGCACACAGAUAUUUUGGAUCAUGACAUGGACUUGCCCCACGCUUUGAAAAGGCCACAUACAGAAAGUAUAAACUGUCAUUUUUGAGAAGUGAUCCUGCUGUCUGCAGAGGCUAAAACACAGCAGCAUAUGGGAAUGAGUGACACAUCCAUCAGAGACGGGCUCAUCUCAGCGCUGACCUCCUCACGCUGACCGAUGAGUAUCCUCUGUCAAACACACACUGUUUCUGACGCAUCACCUGUGCUGCAGAGAGCUACAGAUGAAGGCUGCUGGUGAUCAGGGGCUGCGGGUACGAGCUGACACCGCUGGAUGAAAUAUUAAGUCCCAACUCCAGAGGGGGUCUAAGCUUAGCGAGGAGAUUGUAUUCUUCCAUCGGAGCCCCUCCCCCUCCAGGUUUCUGCUCCUGUGUUAUUGACCCACCACAGGUACACAAAGCUGAAGAAAAGGAGAAAAGGUGAAGAAGAAGAAGCCGUUUGGUGCUGAAAAUUAAAUCUUUAACACACUGGGAUGCUGUUGAAUCACAUCUGCAGUGGGUCUUUUGAUACUGCUCCUGUUCAAGGUUUACUUUAUUCCUUUUUUUCUCGCCGUGAUUUUGAUCUAUGACGAUCGUUACAGCCUCUCUGAAAGUGUCAGAGCAGACCUCGACCAGGAGAAUAGAUGAAUUCAUAAAGUUUAAAGGCGACUGUGUCGUGCUCAGCCACAAUGGCUCCUUGUAGGAUGUAGUACAGGAAUAUUAUUGCACACCACUGUAAGCCUUGAAUAAUUGAUAGAAUAAUAAGAAGGAAAAGGAAGGAAGGGAAGAGAAAAGAGCUACAAAGAGAAUUUCUUCUCUGUACCCAAACGUCAUCAUGUUCCAGCCUCCAGGGCCUUCACUCAGCUUCAAAUCCAAUUUCCCACCAAGUCUUAAGCUUUAUGGGCCAAAUGAUCCAGCCGAGGUGUUACUGUACAGCAAGACAAGGAGAGGAUGAAAUGAAACAUUAUCACAAGGUUACGACACUGCCGGGCCCUCCACCAGGCAGCAGGCAGCUCAGAUGUUAGGCAUCAAUCUAAGAACAGCGCUCAGUUUUUAUGAUAAGAUGAAUUAUGAUUCUGAUAAUGGCCGCAGCGACUCUCAGGCUGUUUCUGCCUCGGAGGGCGAGUUUCAACUAGCGGUGAGUCGCAGAAGGUCACCUGAGUGAUGAAUGUUUCACAACAGCAGCCAUCAUUUUCCAUUCACAGAGACACUGGAUGAGGCAGGACAACCAUAAAGACACCAAAAAAAGAGAGCCAUCAAGAGCCAAAGGGAG
rnacentral:lncRNA from 1 species